GCGUGCUACACAUGCAAGUCGAACGGUACUUCGGGUACAGUGGCGAACGGGUGAGUAACACGUGGUUUACCUACCCCAGAGAGCGGGACAACGGAUCGAAAGGUCUGCUAAUACCGCAUAAGCUCACGUUGAAUAGCGAGAUGUGAGAAAAGGCGCAAGCCGCUGUGGGAUGGGACUGCGGUCCAUCAGCUAGUUGGUGAGGUAAUGGCUCACCAAGGCGACGACGGAUAGGGGGCCUGAGAGGGUGACCCUCCACACUGGAACUGAGACACGGUCCAGACUCCUACGGGAGGCAGCAGUGAUGAAUAUUGCUCAAUGGGGGCAACCCUGAAGCAGCAACGCCGCGUGGGUGAUGAAGGCUUUCGGGCCGUAAAGCCCUUUUCUGUGUGACGAGAACGGACGGUAGCACAGGAAUAAGUGUCGGCUAACUACGUGCCAGCAGCCGCGGUAAAACGUAGGACGCAAGCAUUAUCCGGAAUUACUGGGCGUAAAGAGCGCGCAGGCGGUUAAGUAAGUCAUGUAUGAAAGCUCUGGGCUAAACUCGGAGAGGGGACAUGAUACUGCUAAACUUGAGUGGGUCAGAGGGGUGUAGAAUUCCGCGUGUAGUGGUGAAAUGCGUAGAUAUGCGGAGGA
rnacentral:rRNA from 1 species